rnacentral:rRNA from 1 species
UGCCAGCAGCCGCGGUAAUACGAAGGAUCCAAGCGUUGUCCGGAUUUACUGGGUUUAAAGGGUGCGUAGGCGGGCUAUUAAGUCAGUGGUGAAAGCUUGCAGCUUAACUGUAAAAUUGCCAUUGAAACUGAUAGCCUCGAAUAUGGUUGAGGUGGUUGGAAUGUAUCAUGUAGCGGUGAAAUGCUUAGAUAUGAUACAGAACACCGAUUGCGAAGGCAGAUCACUAAGCCAUUAUUGACGCUGAGGCACGAAAGCGUGGGGAUCAAACAGGAUUAGAUACCCUGGUAGUCCACGCCCUAAACGUUGCAUACUCGGUUUUAGCGAUAUACCGUUAGGACCCAAGCGAAAGCGUUAAGUAUGCCACCUGGGAAGUACGUCCGCAAGGAUGAAACUCAAAGGAAUUGACGGGGGCCCGCACAAGU